rnacentral:rRNA from 1 species
UACGGGGGGGGCAAGCGUUGUUCGGAAUUACUGGGCGUAAAGGGCUCGUAGGCGGCCAACUAAGCCCGACGUGAAAUCCCCAGGCUUAACCUGGGAACUGCGUCGGAUACUGGAUGGCUUGAAUCCGGGAGAGGGAUGCGGAAUUCCAGGUGUAGCGGUGAAAUGCGUAGAUAUCUGGAGGAACACCGGUGGCGAAGGCGGCAUCCUGGACCGGCAUUGACGCUGAGGAGCGAAAGCCAGGGGAGCAAACGGG